rnacentral:rRNA from 1 species
AGCACUUGGAGGAUGAAUAGGGAAAACUGGUAAAAUGUGAUGUACCUAGUUAUAUUAGUAAUUAAUAUGAUAUUAACUAAGUUAAUUAAAAUUCAAAGUAGGUUUUGAUAAUGACAAAUCUUGCUUAUGUCUUGACCAAGUCACGUGCCAGCAGUCGCGGUAAUACGUGGAAGAUAAGUGUUAUUCAUGUUUAACAGGUUUAAAGGGUACCUAGACAGUUAAUUAAACACAAAACUGUAGUAAUUAACUAGAGUUUAAUAUAAGAAAGAUUGAGUACGGUGAGUGUAGAGAUAAAAUUCUGUCAUACCACUUAGGAACUGGUAAAUGCGUAGACAACUUUUUAUGUAAAAACUGACGUUGAAGGACGAAGGAACCCCAAUAUUCCUCACUGCUCCCAUCGGCCAUUUUUUUUUUUUCCGC